rnacentral:rRNA from 1 species
UACGGAGGGUGCAAGCGUUAUCCGGAUUCACUGGGCUUAAAGGGUGCGUAGGUGGAUCGGUAAGUCCGUGGUGAAAUCCCUGAGCUUAACUCAGGAACUGCCGUGGAUACUAUCGAUCUUGAAUGCCGUGGAGGUAAGCGGAAUAUGUCAUGUAGCGGUGAAAUGCUUAGAUAUGACAUAGAACACCAAUAGCGAAGGCAGCUUGCUGGACGGUAAUUGACACUCAGGCACGAAAGCGUGGGGAGCGAACAGG